AGUCAUCAUCACCAUCAAGAUUAUUCAAAGCUUUGUUCUUGAAGCCUACAAGUGAUAUCUUCAUCACAAAUCGUUGAGUUGAUUACUUGCUUGAUCUCUCGCAUACCUAAUACCAUCCACACACAGGUAAUACUCAUCAAAAUGGCUAAGAGUGCUAGGGUUGCUUGUGGACCUUAGAGAGACCUAAGAGAUUCCC